AUAGCUUCUCAACCUUUUGGCUAAGAUCAAGUGUAGCAUCUGUUCUUAUCAUUUUAAUAUCUGAUACAUCCUUUAUGUGAGGACAAUAUAUUAAAUGGAUUUUUGGAGAGUUGAUGAUGGACAGGGAAGCCUGGCAUCCUGCGGUCCAUGGGGUUGCAAAUAGUCGGACCCGACUGAGCCACUGAAC